UCUAGCCUAGUUUCCAAUUUCAAAUUUUCAUCUUCAAGUCUCCAUAUUAGCCUCCUCAUCUUCACCUACAAGAAAUAAAAAGAAAAGAUGAAUAAUAACACAAUUCAACAUUGAGAAUAUCACUCCUAAAAAAACAAAGAAAAUAUUAACAACUUUAGUGAUAUUUAAUUGGAUACCAUUUUCAUUAAUUUUCAUUAUUGCUUGGACUAGGGGAAUUCAAAGGGUUAGGAACACUAGAAGCAUCAGUAACCUAUAUCACAGAAAAUUGAAAAUUGCAGAUAAAGAUUAGUAUUAAAUCAAGAGUAUUGCUAAAUGGUUCGAACCACCACAUGCGAAAUUCAACGAAUUGUGUAACUCAAACACAAAACCAACAUUGUUUUC
rnacentral:lncRNA from 1 species